UCCAAAAAAAACAUAACUAUUUGCUGGAUAAAUACUGUCAAUAACCGAAAUUCAGUACUCAUAGCAUUAAAACUGAUGGCUUGUCAUCAGCAAAUCGAGUGGACCCAGUGUUAUUGAAAUACGUGAAAAUGACCAAUAUAGUAAUCCAUCCAUUCACCCAUUUUCUUCACCGCUUAUCCUCACGAGUAGUGCUGGAGCCUAUCCCAGCUGUCAACGGGCAGGAGGCAGGGUACACCCUGAACUGGUUGUCAGCCAAUCGCAGGGCACAUACAGACGAACAACCAUUCACACUUACAAUCACACCUAGGGGCAAUUUAGAGUGUCCAAUUAAUGCUGCACGUUUUUGGGAUGUGAUAGGAAACCGGAGUGCCCGGAGAAAACCCACGCAAGCACGGGGAGAACAUGCAAACUCCAAACAGGCGGGUCCGGGAUCGAACCCCGGUCCUCAGAACUGUGAGGCCAAGGCUUUACCAGCUGAUUCACCAUGCCGGCCAAUAAAGUAAUAUAUCAUUGUAUAACAUAAAGUAUAAUACAUAAUGAUGGAAUUCUUCCGGUUACAAGAGGACUCACUUGCCCCGACAACCUCCGCCCAUUUCAAAUACAUUGUCGUAUGGCAAUAUGGAGAUAAGCUAUUUUAACCAAUCGGCUGCUAUUAGAGUCAUAAGGUAAUCUCAGAAGGUUGCAGUGGGCAACACGGCCCUUCCCUGGUGUAAAAUAUCACACAGGGGUGACUUUGUGAUUUCCCCAACCUGGAUGGAGCCAAACAGAUGGUGCAACACCCUUUUAGAAAGUGGAAAGGCUAACUACUACGCAUUAAAAGGAACUUGAACCCAAUUAGUGUGCCCAUAAAACAUUACUGUACAUUAUGUCCUUGGCAAAAGUGUAUAGAAGGGUAAAAGCGCUGGAUUUAGUGAUUUUCCUUUUGUCCACAUUUAGGACUAUCUAGUGACUUUUUCCUGCAUGUGUUUCUUGCAAGCAGAGAAAUUCUCCAAAAUAAACAUUCCACUAGUAACGGCACGCCUGGAUGCGUAAGUGAAUAAAUGCACCCCGUUGCUAUGGAGGUUUGUUAUUGCGUCCCAGUAGGUGGCCCCCAGUAAGGCAGGCCGCACUCUCUCAUCGCCGUGCUCGAGAGGACAUUUUUGAACACUGACAUCAAGGAAAUGUGCCUGAACUCUCCUUCACUCCUGCUGACAUGUGACUAUGGGCACACGAAGUCGCUUUUCCAAAAGAAAGCUACUUUGAUACAAGAAGAAGAAGAAAAAAAAAAGAACAAUGAUACUAGUCUAAAUGCACACAAACAUUUGCCACCUCUUCCCGUGUUGUGGAGCCAAAAAAGGGCCUUCCAUGACAUCAACCCUAGCAACGGUGCAAACAUCCGAGAGGCCAGAAGGAGCCAAUCCAGACUGCACAAUCCUUGCCCAGUGCCUAAGGAAAGUUUGCUGUAUCGUCUUCCUGCUUCCAUACAACAUUUUUCCACUAAAAAUAAUCUAGUGACUUUUAAAGUCACUGUUCAUUUUAAUCCCAUAGCGCUCCUCUUGUAGACCAAAGUUGGGAACACAAAUGUUAUCCCAAGUGCUACGAAGGUUAUUUAUGGGACACUUAGUAGGCUCCUAAAUUAACUUUUUAUUACCUUCACAAUAUGACUCACAAUGCUCGUAUUUCACUUCGUUGCUGCUAACGUCUUAUUUUUAAUCCGAGUGGCCUGGACAGGCAGUUUGUUGUGCAGACCAAAGAAGAUUAAAAAAAAAAAAAAAAAAGACUUGAUACAGGGAGUUCUCGGUCUACGACUGACAUCCGUUCCGACAGUAGCGAUUUCACUCGAAUUUUGACUUAAGUCGGAUUCCACCAUUAAAGUCGGAAUUUACAUCAAAAUACUUUGUAUAAAAAAAAAAUACAUUGAAAUAAACGAGAUGAUGUACUUUGCAUGACUGUUGAGAGGUGGAUGGAGAAGAAGAUGGGGAGGCGGUGCUCAGCUAUUGCAAAGGAACCUGGUCCUCAAUCCUCUCCAUCUCGACAAGUAUCAAAGAACCUUGUUUUGUGGUCAUUGUAUCCAACAUAGGAACGAAACCCUUCACAUGCGGUAAAAUACGGGCUUUGUCUUUAACAAUUGUUACCACGGUCGACCGACUGAAGCCUUGGUGGUGCUUGUGUCUCACCUUUCUCCAAUCGUUUUAUGAUCUUGAGCUUCGUUUCCAUGGUCAUGGCUUUUCUUCUGGCUGCAGAAGCAUUUCUAAAAGACAGAGCUUUCUUCUUUGGGGUGAUCAUGUCUAAAAAUGGAGGACAAAAAAUGCAAAGAUACUCCCGGCGCACAAACACGGACAAGCGUUAGCCAGGCAAAAUGGCGGACAGGAACGGGCGCUGUAAAGUAGAAUUGUCUUAGGUCGAGACCGUCUUAACACGAGGAAUCCCUGUAGCAUAAACCGGCAGAAUUUCAAGGAUAUCAGAACCAGCUUUUUGGGAAAGUAAAUUACAAAACACUGACAGAACUUUUUUCUAGUGGCUGAAGCGUUGUGUAGAGGGCAGUGGAGAGAAGACACAUCCCUGUGGGGCCCCAGAUGCUGAUGUGGAUGAGGUGGGAUCCCCCAACCACACCUGGGCGCUUCCUGGCGGGCAGUAAUGGCUUAUGAGAGCUUGUCACCUAUAGGCCGCCAGCUCCAUGCCGAGGUCCAUCUUGACCCGCAGCAGAUGCUGAUGGUCCUUCACCUUCUGCGCGAUGCCCUCGGCCAUGGCGUUCCUCUCUUGUUCCAGCUGGUUGAUGAUAACCUGGACAGAACAACAUCAAAUGUGAAAUCUAAGGACGAACUACAGGAUUGACCUUGCGUCGCCUAGCAUGACCUGGUCCUCCUGGAUGGCCCGCUCCAUCUCCUCCACCUUCUGCUGGUACAUGUCGAAGGUUCGCAUCCAGCCCUCAGACAUCCCGUGGGCGU